rnacentral:rRNA from 1 species
UGGGGAAUAUUGCACAAUGGGCGCAAGCCUGAUGCAGCCAUGCCGCGUGUGUGAAGAAGGCCUUCGGGUUGUAAAGUACUUUCAGCGAGGAGGAAGGGUGGUGUGUUAAUAGCACAUCACAUUGACGUUACUCGCAGAAGAAGCACCGGCUAACUCCGUGCCAGCAGCCGCGGUAAUACGGAGGGUGCAAGCGUUAAUCGGAAUUACUGGGCGUAAAGCGCACGCAGGCGGUUUGUUAAGUCAGAUGUGAAAUCCCCGCGCUUAACGUGGGAACUGCAUUUGAAACUGGCAAGCUAGAGUCUUGUAGAGGGGGGUAGAAUUCCAGGUGUAGCGGUGAAAUGCGUAGAGAUCUGGAGGAAUACCGGUGGCGAAGGCGGCCCCCUGGACAAAGACUGACGCUCAGGUGCGAAAGCGUGGGGAGCAAACA